rnacentral:lncRNA from 1 species
AACACACAAAAUAGAUAUCCAACAUUUAUAGAUCUAUCUUUAGAGGAGUGGAAGAUGAGAACCAUGUAAUAAAUAACCGACAAGAACAAGAUAAAUUUGGGAGAAAGACAUGAGACAAAAAAAAAGGAAAAAUUGGUAUAAAGUUUGGUGUUCCAAUUUCAAAGAGAUUAGUGAAAGGUUAUAGAGUUUUAGUUUGGAAAAAAGGUAAGAGCUUUAUACAACAAAAUGUUACCUAAUGAAGAAAAAUCAAACAUGCAGACUUACCAAAACGCUUAAAUCUGUUAUGAAAGAGGAGACAUAAGAGAAAACUCAGUCAGAAGACUUCCAGGAAGUCUUCUAUGAAGUCAGAAGACUUCCAGGAAGUCUUCCUUGAAGUCAGAAGACUUCCUGGAAGUCUUCUGGUGCAUUAUAUUUUAGAAGACUUUCGGGAAGACUUCUUCGAGAGUCAGAUCCAGAUCUCAAAAACCAGAUCUGAAAAACAUGCAUAUCCAAAAACGUUUUAUUGGCUUCAAAAUAGAAAAAAUAAAUGAAAGAUUAAAUAGAUUUACCUUAAUAAAACAUAAAAAAAAACUAGAUAUCAAAAAUUUAUAGAUUUACCUUUAAAUGAGUAGAAGAUGAGAAUCAUGUGAUAGAAAAUCUACAAAAAUAAGAUAAAAUAGUGAAAAAAAAACAUGAGACAAAAAUGAAAAAUUAAUAAACAAAUUUGAUGUUUUUAAGUUCAAAGAGAUUAGAAAGAGGUUGGAAAGUAUUAGUUUGGGAAAAGUAAGAGCUUUAUGCAAUAAGAAGUUACCAAAUGAAAAAAAAAAAUCAAACAUGGAGAUUUAUCAAAACGCUUAGAUCUGUUAUGAAAUGAGAGACAUGGAAGAAGACUCAGUCAGAAGACUUUCAGGAAGUCUUCCAUGAAGUCAAAAGACUUUCAAGUAGUCUUGUGGCACAUAAUAUUUUAGAAGACUUCCCAGAAGUCUUCAAAAGUCUGACCCAUAUCUCAAAAACAUGCAUAUCCAAAAACGUUCAAAUGGCUUCAAAAAGAGAAAUAAGUGGAAGAUUAGAUAUAUCUAGUUUUAUAGAAAAAAAAAUAGAUCUCCAAAAUUUAUAGAUUUACCUUUAAAAGAAUAGAAGAUUAGAACCAUGUGAUAAAAACUGCAAAAACAAGAUAAAUUAGUGAGAUGAGACAAAAA